rnacentral:rRNA from 1 species
CCUACGGGAGGCAGCAGUGGGGGAUAUUGCACAAUGGGGGGAACCCUGAUGCAGCGACGCCGCGUGAGCGAAGAAGUACCUCGGCAUGUAAAGCUCUAUCAGCAGGGAAGAAAAUGACGGUACCUGACUAAGAAGCCCCGGCUAAAUACGUGCCAGCAGCCGCGGUAAUACGUAUGGGGCAAGCGUUAUCCGGAUUUACUGGGGGUAAAGGGAGCGCAGGCGGCCUGCCAAGUCUGGUGGGAAAACCCGGGGCCCAACCCCGGGCCUGCAUUGGAAACUGGCGGGCUGGAGGGUAGGAGGGGCAGGCGGAAUUCCUGGUGUAGCGGUGAAAUGCGUAGAUAUUAGGAGGAACACCGGUGGCGAAGGCGGCCUGCUGGACGAUGACUGACGCUGAGGCUCGAAAGCGUGGGGAGCAAACAGGAUUAGAUACCCUAGUAGUC